GAUUUUACCAUCCUUUAAACACACAGAUUUGGUCCUGACCUUGAAAUCAAUUAUAUCUAAACUUACACAUGCAAGCAUCCGCACACCGGUGAGAACGCCCUUUAUCCCACUUCGGGACAAGGAGCUGGUAUCAGGCACAAUAUUUAGCCCAAAACACCUAGCCAUGCCACACCCACAAGGGUAUUCAGCAGUGAUUAGCAUUAAAAAUAAACGUCAGUUUGAUUUAGUUAAUGAUAACAGAGCCGGCUAAUCUGGUGCCAGCCGCCGCGGUUAAACCAGAUGCUCAAAUUGAUAUUUCACGGCGUAAAAUGUGAUUAAAGAGACACUCACUGGGGUUAAACUAAAACUAAACAGUUUAAUACUUGUUUUAAAAGAAACCCGCACCCGAAAGUUACCCCAAACCGACAACUUGAAUUCACGACAGCUAGGACACAAACUGGGAUUAGAUACCCCACUAUGCCUAGCCAUAAACUUUUAUUUACACCACCUACU
rnacentral:rRNA from 1 species